UUUUGGACAAUGGGGGCAACCCUGAUCCAGCAAUGCCGCGUGAGUGAAGAAGGCCUUCGGGUUGUAAAGCUCUUUUGUCAGGGAAGAAACACAGGCUCUAACACAGUCCGGGAAUGACGGUACCUGAAGAAUAAGCACCGGCUAACUACGUGCCAGCAGCCGCGGUAAUACGUAGGGUGCGAGCGUUAAUCGGAAUUACUGGGCGUAAAGCGUGCGCAGGCGGUUAUACAAGACAGGCGUGAAAUCCCCGGGCUUAACCUGGGAAUGGCGCCUGUGACUGUAUAGCUAGGGUGUGUCAGAGGGGGGUAGAAUUCCACGUGUAGCAGUGAAAUGCGUAGAUAUGUGGAGGAAUACCAAUGGCGAAGGCAGCCCCCUGGGAUAACACUGACGCUCAUGCACGAA
rnacentral:rRNA from 1 species